rnacentral:rRNA from 1 species
UCAAUAAGCGGUGUUGUUAGUACUAACCAGGAUCCUUAGUACGGCGAGUGAACAGGGAUUAGCCCAGCACCGAAGUCUGGGUGAUUGGGCGUUGGACAAUGUGGUGUUUAGGUUGGAUUAUCCUUACUUCGCUCCGUUUAAAGUCCAUUCUUGAAUAUGGCUAAUAGUUUGGCCCAAAGAGGGUGAAAGGCCCGUGUGGAUGCUGUGUUGUAUGAUUUUGUUAACUGAAGAGUCGGGUUGUUUGAGAACGCAGCCCAAAGUUGGUGGUAAACUCCAUCUAAGGCUAAAUACUGGCACGAGUCCGAUAGCGAACAAGUACCGUGAGUUAAAGUUGAAAAGUACUCUGAAGAGAAAGUACUCUGAAGAGAGAGUUAACAGUGCGUGAAACCGCUUAGAAGCAAACGGGUGUAGUCAAGCUGCAAGCCUUCAGAAAUAGGUGGGCCAGAAUGGCGUGAGUCUGAGCACAUAGAACUGGCAAAUUGGUUCGAUUUU